AUUGAACGCUGGCGGCAGGCCUAACACAUGCAAGUCGAACGGUAACAGGAAUCAGCUUGCUGAUUCGCUGACGAGUGGCGGACGGGUGAGUAAUGUCUGGGAAACUGCCUGAUGGAGGGGGAUAACUACUGGAAACGGUAGCUAAUACCGCAUAAUGUCGCAAGACCAAAGAGGGGGACCUUCGGGCCUCUUGCCAUCGGAUGUGCCCAGAUGGGAUUAGCUAGUAGGUGGGGUAACGGCUCACCUAGGCGACGAUCCCUAGCUGGUCUGAGGGGAGGACCAGCCCACCUGGAACUGAGACACGGUCCAGACUCCUACGGGAGGCAGCAGUGGGGAAUAUUGCACAAUGGGCGCAAGCCUGAUGCAGCCAUGCCGCGUGUAUGAAGAAGGCCUUCGGGUUGUAAAGUACUUUCAGCGGGGAGGAAGGGAGUAAAGUUAAUACCUUUGCUCAUUGACGUUACCCGCAGAAGAAGCACCGGCUAACUCCGUGCCAGCCGCCGCAGUAA
rnacentral:rRNA from 1 species